GAUUAACUGGACGUUACCCACAGAAGAAGCACCGGCUAACUCCGUGCCAGCAGCCGCGGUAAUACGGAGGGUGCGAGCGUUAAUCGGAAUUACUGGGCGUAAAGGGUGCGUAGGUGGUUGAUUAAGUUAUCUGUGAAAUUCCUGGGCUUAACCUGGGACGGUCAGAUAAUACUGGUUGACUCGAGUAUGGGAGAGGGUAGUGGAAUUUCCGGUGUAGCGGUGAAAUGCGUAGAGAUCGGAAGGAACACCAGUGGCGAAGGCGGCUACCUGGCCUAAUACUGACACUGAGGCACGAAAGCGUGGGGAGCAAACAGGAUUAGAUACCCUGGUAGUCCACGCUGUAAACGAUGUCAACUAGCAUUAUCUGACCGUCCCAGGUUAAG
rnacentral:rRNA from 1 species